rnacentral:rRNA from 1 species
GAGUUUGAUCGUGGCUCAGGACGAACGCUGGCGGCGUGCUUAACACAUGCAAGUCGAACGAUGAUCCGUCUUCGGGCGGGGAUUAGUGGCGAACGGGUGAGUAACGCGUGGGUGAUCUACCUUCGAGUGGGGGAUAACGUUCCGAAAGGAGCGCUAAUACCGCAUGAUGUUCUGGGUUUAAAGACCUGGAAACCAAAGCCGGGGACCGCAAGGCCUGGCGCUUGAAGAGGAGCCCGCGUCCGAUUAGCUAGUUGGCGGGGUAAUGGCCCACCAAGGCGACGAUCGGUAGCCGGCCUGAGAGGGCGGACGGCCACACUGGAACUGAGACACGGUCCAGACUCCUACGGGAGGCAGCAGUGGGGAAUUGUUCACAAUGGGCGCAAGCCUGAUGACGCAACGCCGCGUGGGGGAUGAAGGUCUUCGGAUUGUAAACCCUGUCGAACGGGACGAAAGACUCGGGAGCUAAUCAUCUCGAGAGUGACGGUACCGUUAAAGGAAGCCACGGCUAACUCUGUGCCAGCCGCCGCCGUAAG